GUAGUGUUGCGUGGUUUCCAUGGUAACCAGACUCACCCUCUCUGAACCGUCCUCUGGCUCACACGGCAGGGUAAAGACAGCGCGACUUUUUGUUGUUUCACUGCAUUUAAAGGUGCUGCAAUGAUGUCAGCCUCUCAAGAUCAGCAGGUAGAAAACACAAAAACAUGUCUGAACCCCGGAAACCCAGUUUUCUCCUGCAUGAUGUCUCCAGCGCAGCGUGCAAAGACUAACAAUCCUUUGUACAGGACCACUUCCAGAGACUAUGGUCUCCUCUCUCCAUCCUUUGAAAGCUCACCGUGCAGUUUCCACCCUAAAUCACAAAGAUUCUCUGAACACCUGGGCAAGAGCGGGAUGUAUCGUGACAACUCCUUGAAUACAGCCGUGGACCGAAGCAGGGUGUAUGACUGCCCUAAUUUAAAGCACACCAUCUAGAUGCACGGUUGACCUAAUAUGCCCAAAUUUUGAGACAUCAAACUGACCCACAGAAGUUUACCAAAGCCUUGAACAUGGACCUGGACCCACCCCACCUUCAGUUCCUCUCUGUUAUAUUGUCCUGUUGUAUAUUGUAUAUUAAUAAAUGUGACCUUGACAACAAAUAAAAUGAUCCUUCAUUUU